GCCUGUAUUAGUAUCUUAUAAAAUAUUUGUACUGAGAGACGGGUAGUCGGUCAAUUAAUUUAAAGUCUUUAUCAAUUUAGAAAAUAUUAAGAGUCAGCGUAACAAGCUGAAAGUUGUAAGGUUUGUAUGAUUGAAAUGUCUCACGGCGUGAAGCUGUAGUUAGUAUUUUAAGCCGUUGUAAAUUAGUAGUUAUUUGGAAUUGUGACGUUCCCGGUGGGAAAAGUAGUGGCUUGAAGAUUGUUAAAGUUUCAAAUUUAUUAGAACUUAUAGUUAAAAGAAUACUUACAAUUAUUUUAACAGCAUUGAUUUUUGAUUAUUGUGUUGACGAACUAGCCGAGGUGUUACAAGAGUGCCAUGAGAAUCAACUCCCCCUUCAACUCCCCAAAGACCUGUCAACCAGCAGUCUACAAAAAGGGGAGCUCGCCUGCUGCUCGCCGCCUUCCGCCUUUCGCCUUCUGCAUUCACCUGUUCCUAUCAUGGCCCGGGGUCUUGCUCUGCUGUAUCCGUUCUCUCUCCACAUGUUACUCAUUUCUAUUAUAGAUUCCUCGCACUACUAGUACUAUCUGUUCCCGAUAGAUCCUUCCAGAAUUAGGCUAUGGAGUUCCUUUCUUGAGGCAAUAUGACGGUGAUACCCACCCCACUUGCUCUGCCUGUCCUCACCUAAGCUCCACCAGUCGUAUUGCUUCAUUGAUUCCCCCCUCCUUCCUCGAGAACCGUUCGUCACUAUGUUAGAUCCUCGAGAUGACCAUGCAAGAUGGUUCAGUUCUAGUUGACAUUCCACUAUAUGAAAAGACCAGAUCGCCACUUUAUAUUCUUAUUCCUUGAGAGAGAGAGAGAACCGGAACAGCGACCUCGUGAAUCAUCCUAUUUAAUCGCUUCACCCUCGCCACAUUCGCUACUACUUCAAUUAUUGGGGUAAAUGGACAUUAAGACUAAGUUAUGAGAUAUGAGAGUUAAAUUAAUAUUGUAGUCCUAUUUAACCCAAUUAUUUUACAACCCUUUA